rnacentral:rRNA from 1 species
UAAGGAAUAUUGGUCAAUGGACGGAAGUCUGAACCAGCCAUGCCGCGUGCAGGAGGACGGCCCUAUGGGUUGUAAACUGCUUUUAUACGGGAACAAACGUCGGUACGUGUACCGGUCUGAGUGUACCGUAAGAAUAAGGAUCGGCUAACUCCGUGCCAGCAGCCGCGGUAAUACGGAGGAUCCGAGCGUUAUCCGGAAUUAUUGGGUUUAAAGGGUGCGUAGGCGGCCAGAUAAGUCAGGGGUGAAAGUCGGCAGCUCAACUGUCGCAGUGCCUUUGAUACUGUUUGGCUUGAAUUCGGUUGAAGAUGGCGGAAUGAGACAAGUAGCGGUGAAAUGCAUAGAUAUGUCUCAGAACACCGAUUGCGAAGGCAGUUAUCUAAGCCGUUAUUGACGCUGAUGCACGAAAGCGUGGGUAGCAAACAGGAUUAGAUACCCUGGUAGUCCACGCCCUAAACGAUGAUAACUCGAUGUUGGCGAUAUACAGUCAGCGUCUUAGCGAAAGCGUUAAGUUAUCCACAUGGGGAGUACGCCGGCAACGGNG